CACGUAGGGUGCGAGCGUUGUCCGGAAUUAUUGGGCGUAAAGAGCUCGUAGGCGGUCUGUCGCGUCUGGUGUGAAAAUCCAGGGCUUAACCCUGGACCUGCAUCGGGUACGGGCAGACUAGAGUGCGGUAGGGGAGAUCGGAAUUCCUGGUGUAGCGGUGAAAUGCGCAGAUAUCAGGAGGAACACCGGUGGCGAAGGCGGGACUCUGGGCCGAUACUGACGCUGAGGAGCGAAAGCGUGGGGAGCAAACAGG
rnacentral:rRNA from 1 species